rnacentral:rRNA from 1 species
GACGAACGCUGGCGGCGUGCUUAACACAUGCCAGUCGAACGGAAAGGCCCUGCUUUUGUGGGGUGCUCGAGUGGCGAACGGGUGAGUAACACGUGAGUAACCUGCCCUUGACUUUGGGAUAACUUCAGGAAACUGGGGCUAAUACCGGAUAGGAGCUCCUGCUGCAUGGUGGGGGAUGGAAAGUUUCGGCGGUUGGGGAUGGACUCGCGGCUUAUCAGCUUGUUGGUGGGGUAGGGGCUUACCAAGGCUUUGACGGGUAGCCGGCCUGAGAGGGUGACCGGCCACAUUGGGACUGAGAUACGGCCCAGACUCCUACGGGAGGCAGCAGUGGGGAAUAUUGCACAAUGGGCGGAAGCCUGAUGCAGCAACGCCGCGUGCGGGAUGACGGCCUUCGGGUUGUAAACCGCUUUCGCCUGUGACGAAGCGUGAGUGACGGUAAUGGGUAAAGAAGCACCGGCUAACUACGUG